rnacentral:lncRNA from 1 species
CGACAUGCGAUAUAUGCACGCUGUGAAAGGUUAUUGACUCGAAGUAUUUAGGGCGUGCAUAUCCAUGCACGCCGUAUUAGCCUAUCAUUUACGGCGUGUUUUAAGUGCACGUUGUGUUUGUUCGAAUUUUCAACCCUAAAUUAAAACUUUUUCCAGGCCGUUUCAUAACAAUUGGGUCUAUCUUGUUUUCUUUUCCCCAUCGACUCUUGCUUCUCUAUGCACCGUUUCCUUUUCCCCAUCAACAACAACACAGUGGUUCUCCAUCACUCUCGAUUCAUAGCCACCAUCUGCAUUCUCUCUGCGAUCACUUCGCUCGACGCCUCAGCCUCCAUCUGCAGAUGGUUCCUUCUCCUUGCUUCGGUUUCUUCCUGCUCUGUCCACCAUACCGCCGUCUCCCCCAAAUUACCCCCCUCAAUCAGCCAUCAACCGUGAGCCCACUAACUUGACGGCUGAAGUCAGCACUGGGAUAGCUUUUAGUUAUCGUUUAUUGGUGAUUUUUAUUUUACUGUCAAUUUAUUGGGAAAUAAUGUGGAGUGUAAAUUGGGUUAUUGGUAAAACUAGGGUUCGAAUUCAAUUGAAAUUUCAGUUCAUUUACGGUGCAUUUAUUAAAAAUCUAUUUUAUUUGUGGUGUAGUUAUUAAAUUUUGUAGUGGUAAUAUAAUUACCUCUUCUUAUAUUGCAAAAGGUGAAAAUUUGUUCAAUUUGAGAUAGUUUUAAAUAAACUUUACUAACAUAAUUCCUAGCUAUUUGUAAAUUGAAAUGAAUUUUAAGAUUCAAGUGCAUUGAAUUGGAACGAGAGCCAAGUGUAAAUUCUGUCUAAUUAUCAAUUGCAGGCAAUUUGUCCUACUAAUUUAAAUUGUUGAGGAAGUUAAUCAAAUUGAGUCUUUUGUGAUGAAUAUAAAUAGUCUAUGAAGAUUUGUACAUAAUGUUUAUAUGAAGAAAGGAAGAUUCAUCAUUUUAAUGAAAUUUUUCUAGAGUAAACGAAUUUGUAUUGGCACAUGAAAUUUUGAAGUUGUCUUAAUUGGUGAAUAACAGCUAGAUUUUGUUACCAGUGGAUUUUGUGCUACUUUGUCUAUUAUUGAAAUAUGUAUCAAACUGAAAAUGAAAAUUAAAGAGUGUUGAUGCAUAUGUUGACAGAACACCAAUAUAAACUCCCCUUCAAGAACUCGAGACAGUGCUCUAAUCUACGCCCUAAACUGAAAUUUUCUUUAUAACAAAAUCUCAAUAGGGUUUAGCUUCAAUACAUAUGGGAUAAGCUUCAAUACAUAUGGGAUAUGGCUCUGAGUAUCAUCCUACUGGCUUAGUGUCAUAUGUGUACAUGACAAGGAUGUAUCACGAUGCUAAAAUUCAAAUCUACGAAGCUAUCUUGACUAUUUGUAGCUAAUUACUGUGGGUGUUUGAAAGAACUGAUUGGUGAAGUUCAUGUGACCAUGACUUCAUUAACUUUGACUCUUGGACAUCCUAACUUAUUUCACCACAAAUGAAAUAUGUAAAAUGCAGCGUGCUGAAUCCAUUUGCUUGCUGGCCCAAGAUUUGAGUUGGUAUUACUUCUUUCGUUUUCGCAAACAGUUUUUUGUGCUUAUAGCUUAUUGUGACAAGUCCAAACUGGUUCAUUUGAAGAAUAAUGUGAAAUUAUAGGGAGACAAUUAAGUAGAAAGUUGCAAAAAUCAUUUACUAGACCAGGCUUAGGCUAGGGAAGCAUGUAUUUUCUUAGUUCAGAAACUUAUUCCCAUCAUAUUGUUUCAAUUUUAAAUUCGUUAUUUAGUGUAGAUUUGAGUAUGCCAUGCAGAUAAAUCAACAUAUAUAUAUUUACAAUUGUUGUCUACCUAUCAGAAUGCUGCAUUAAUGUAGUUUUGUGCAUAAUUUCUACAAUGUUACCUCUUUGGCUUCUAUUAGCUUUUCUUUGAGAAAAUUGAGGUUGUUAAAGUUCUUGUACUAACACUUGUUGCUGCCGUGCCAACUUCAGCAGCAUCCAAGGGAAGAGAUGUUAAAGGCAAACAGAGAGAGCGAUGGGAUAGGAAGGAGGCAGAGAAUGCGUACACCACUCAGGGGCUUUGUCGUGUUCGACUUAUUCAUGGUCAUGUUCUUCACUAAUGUUAAUUAAAUAUUGUAAACUUGUACUAGAUUUCCUGAAUGGUUGAUGCACUGAAUGUAUAGUUGAUGCUUUAGUACUGUUAAGUACUUCAUUUCUAGGAUAUUAUCGUUUUGUACUAGAUUUCCUGAAUUUCAGUUAGUUUAAUAAAAUAAGUAUGUUGACAAUGAAUAUCAUGUGUAUUUUUUUCCCUUUGAAAACCUGGUUAUAUAUGGAA